rnacentral:rRNA from 1 species
GAGUUUGAUCAUGGCUCAGGACGAACGCUGGCGGCGUGCCUAAUACAUGCAAGUCGAGCGGAACCAGAAGAGCUUGCUCUUUUGGUUUAGCGGCGGACGGGUGAGUAACACGUGGGCAACCUGCCCUGCAGAUCGGGAUAACUCCGGGAAACCGGUGCUAAUACCGAAUAGUUUAUCGUUCCUCCUGGAACGGUACGGAAAGACGGUUUCGGCUGUCACUGCAGGAUGGGCCCGCGGCGCAUUAGCUAGUUGGUGGGGUAAUGGCCCACCAAGGCGACGAUGCGUAGCCGACCUGAGAGGGUGAUCGGCCACACUGGGACUGAGACACGGCCCAGACUCCUACGGGACGCAGCAGA